rnacentral:rRNA from 1 species
ACACAUGCAAGUCGAACGAGCGAGAGAGAGCUUGCUUUCUCGAGCGAGUGGCGAACGGGUGAGUAACGCGUGAGGAACCUGCCUCAAAGAGGGGGACAACAGUUGGAAACGACUGCUAAUACCGCAUAAGCCCACAGGUCGGCAUCGACCAGAGGGAAAAGGAGCAAUCCGCUUUGAGAUGGCCUCGCGUCCGAUUAGCUAGUUGGUGAGGUAACGGCCCACCAAGGCAACGAUCGGUAGCCGGACUGAGAGGUUGAACGGCCACAUUGGGACUGAGACACGGCCCAGACUCCUACGGGAGGCAGCAGUGGGGAAUAUUGCACAAUGGGGGAAACCCUGAUGCAGCGACGCCGCGUGGAGGAAGAAGGUCUUCGGAUUGUAAACUCCUGUUGUUGAGGAAGAUAAUGACGGUACUCAACAAGGAAGUGACGGCUAACUACGUGCCAGCAGCCGCGGUAAAACGUAGGUCACAAGCGUUGUCCGGAAUUACUGGGUGUAAAGGGAGCGCAGGCGGGAAGACAAGUUGGAAGUGAAAUCUAUGGGCUCAACCCAUAAACUGCUUUCAAAACUGUUUUUCUUGAGUAGUGCAGAGGUAGGCGGAAUUCCCGGUGUAGCGGUGGAAUGCGUAGAUAUCGGGAGGAACACCAGUGGCGAAGGCGGCCUACUGGGCACCAACUGACGCUGAGGCUCGAAAGUGUGGGUAGCAAACAGGAUUAGAUACCCUGGUAGUCCACACCGUAAACGAUGAUUACUAGGUGUUGGAGGAUUGACCCCUUCAGUGCCGCAGUUAACACAAUAAGUAAUCCACCUGGGGAGUACGACCGCA